CGUCGCUGAGGGGAUUGCCUGAAGCGAGGGGAUCCUAACAUUUUCAGAGAACCUUUUGGAAAGAACAAGUCUACUUCAAUAAAUGAAGGAGAAUAAAGAAAAUUCAAGCCCUUCAGUAACUUCAGCAAACCUGGACCACACAAAGCCAUGUUGGUACUGGGAUAAGAAAGACCUGGCUCAUACACCCUCACAGCUUGAAGGACUUGAUCCAGCCACUGAGGCCCGGUACCGCCGAGAGGGCGCUCGGUUCAUCUUUGAUGUGGGCACACGUUUGGGGCUACACUAUGAUACCCUGGCAACUGGAAUAAUUUAUUUUCAUCGCUUCUAUAUGUUUCAUUCCUUCAAGCAAUUCCCAAGAUAUGUGACAGGAGCCUGUUGCCUAUUUCUGGCUGGGAAAGUAGAAGAAACACCAAAAAAAUGUAAAGAUAUCAUCAAAACAGCUCGUAGUUUAUUAAAUGAUGUACAAUUUGGCCAGUUUGGAGACGACCCAAAGGAGGAAGUAAUGGUUCUGGAGAGAAUCUUACUGCAGACCAUCAAGUUUGAUUUACAGGUAGAACAUCCAUACCAGUUCCUACUCAAAUAUGCAAAGCAACUCAAAGGUAAGAAGAAAGUUUUCAGAAGAAUUUUUUCAUUCUGAAAUCAAGUCUUUAUAAUUUGAUGAUACUCAAAUUACGCUUCUCAAAAGAGGAAAACAAAGUUUGAUGUGUAAAAUACCAAAGACAUGGCUUGUUCAGUCAAUUCAGUAUU
rnacentral:sRNA from 1 species